UGGGGAAUAUUGCACAAUGGAGGGAACUCUGAUGCAGCGACGCCGCGUGAACGAAGAAGGCUUUCGAGUCGUAAAGUUCUUUUAUAUGGGAAGAUAAUGACGGUACCAUAAGAAAAAGCCCCGGCUAACUACGUGCCAGCAGCCGCGGUAAUACGUAGGGGGCUAGCGUUGUCCGGAAUCACUGUGCGUAAAGGGUUCGCAGGCGGAAAUGCAAGUCAGGUGUAAAAGGCAGUAGCUUAACUACUGUAAGCAUUUGAAACUGCAUAUCUUGAGAAGAGUAGAGGUAAGUGGAAUUUUUAGUGUAGCGGUGAAAUGCGUAGAUAUUAAAAAGAAUACCGGUGGCGAAGGCGACUUACUGGGCUCAUUCUGACGCUGAGGAACGAAAGCGUGGGUAGCAAACAGG
rnacentral:rRNA from 2 species